UACGUAGGGAGCAAGCGUUGUCCGGAAUCAUUGGGCGUAAAGCGCGCGUAGGUGGCUUCAUAAGUCCGUUGUGAAAGUCAAAGGCUCAACCUUUGAAAGCCGAUGGAUACUGUGAAGCUAGAGUACGGAAGAGGCGAGUGGAAUCCUGGUGUAGCGGUGGAAUGCGCAGAUAUCAGGAGGAACACCGGUGGCGAAGGCGGUUCUCUGGGCAUUACCUGACGUGAGGAGCGAAAGUGUGGGGAGCGAACAGG
rnacentral:rRNA from 1 species